UAUCGGUAUAAAGCAUGUGUGACCUAACCAGAAACUUGGGAUGUCCCGAUCAGCUUUUUUGACCACCCGAUCAGUUUUUUUAAAUAUUGAAUGUCUGCCAUUACCAAGUCCCGAUCCGAUUCUUGUAUUUGCUCAGGUAAUAGAGCUGCAUAGUGUUACACUAAAACAUAAACUUAAUA